AUACGGAGGGUGCAAGCGUUGUUCGGAAUUACUGGGCGUAAAGCGCGCGUAGGCGGUCUGUUAUGUCAGAUGUGAAAGUCCUCGGCUCAACCGGGGAAGUGCAUUUGAAACUGGCAGACUUGAGUACUGGAGGGGGUGGUGGAAUUCCCGGUGUAGAGGUGAAAUUCGUAGAUAUCGGGAGGAAUACCGGUGGCGAAGGUGACCACCUGGCCAGAUACUGACGCUGAGGUGCGAAAGCGUGGGGAGCAAACAGGAUUAGAAACCCCGGUAGUCC
rnacentral:rRNA from 1 species